CACUCUAUUUUAAACCUUCUCGGAUCGUCCCGUGCACUUGGUGAAGUUGGGAGCCAAAAAAAAUGGCAUGGGCUGGUAGAUAAUAGAUACUCAUUUAUAUUAGUAUAUCAUGUUUCGUCCGAGGAAGACUUCUACAUCAGAGAAAGGAAUCUCAAGGGGCCAGCCGCGGCCCGUGCACGUAUCUACUAGCAAGCGGUGGGCAGAAAUUCUGAUUUCAUAGAGGGCAGGAGUUGGAAUAAGCUAAUUAUAGUUACGACUAAUUAAAAAUGAAAAAAAAAAAUGACGGAGGUGGGAAUCGGAAAAGACAUGCAUACAUACUUGAGCCUGCUUGAAAAAAAAAUGAUAGAGAUCGAAUGGUCAAAGGGAAGAGUUAAUUAACAUCAUAACAUCGUCAAAUAUCUUCCAAAUG
rnacentral:sRNA from 1 species